rnacentral:rRNA from 1 species
GGAGGAAGCAGGGGAUCGCAAGACCUUGCGCUUUUGGAGCGGCCGAUGCCUGAUUAGCUUGUUGGUGAGGUAAAAGCUCACCAAGGCUCCGAUCAGUAGCUGGUCUGAGAGGACGACCAGCCACACUGGGACUGAGACACGGCCCAGACUCCUACGGGAGGCAGCAGUGGGGAAUUUUGGACAAUGGGGGCAACCCUGAUCCAGCCAUGCCGCGUGAGUGAAGAAGGCCUUCGGGUUGUAAAGCUCUUUCAGCCGGAACGAAACGGACACGGUUAAUACCCGUGACUACUGACGGUACCGGAAGAAGAAGCACCGGCUAACUACGUGCCAGCAGCCGCGGUAAUACGUAGGGUGCGAGCGUUAAUCGGAAUUACUGGGCGUAAAGCGUGCGCAGGCGGUUUUGUAAGUCAGAUGUGAAAUCCCCGGGCUUAACCUGGGAACUGCGUUUGAAACUACAAAGCUAG